ACGGGGGCCCGGCACAAGCGGAGGAGGCAUGUGGUUUAAUUCGAUGAUACGCGAGGAACCUUACCUGGGCUCGAACGUAAGAUGACUGUAGGUGAAAGCUUACAUCUCUUCGGAGCAUUUUACGAGGUGCUGCAUGGUUGUCGUCAGCUCGUGCCGUGAGGUGUCGGGUUAAGUCCCAUAACGAGCGCAACCCCUACCUUUAGUUGCCAUCAGGUUAAGCUGGGGACUCUAAAGGAACUGCCUACGCAAGUAGUGAGGAAGGCGGGGAUGACGUCAAAUCAGCACGGCCCUUACGUCCAGGGCUACACACGUGCUACAAUGGCCGAUACAGAGGGCAGCUACCUGGUGACAGGAUGCAAAUCUCCAAAGUCGGUCUCAGUUCGGAUCGGAGUCUGCAACCCGACUCCGUGAAGUUGGAUUCGCUAGUAAUCGCGCAUCAGCCAUGGCGCGGUGAAUACGUUCCCGGGCCUU
rnacentral:rRNA from 1 species